ACGAACCCUGGCGGCGUGCCUAAUACCUGCAAGUUGAGCGCUGAAGGUUGGUACUUGUACCAACUGGAUGAGCAGCGAACGGGUGAGUAACGCGUGGGGAAUCUGCCUUUGAGCGGGGGACAACAUUUGGAAACGAAUGCUAAUACCGCAUAAAAACUUUAAACACAAGUUUUAAGUUUGAAAGAUGCAAUUGCAUCACUCAAAGAUGAUCCCGCGUUGUAUUAGCUAGUUGGUGAGGUAAAGGCUCACCAAGGCGAUGAUACAUAGCCGACCUGAGAGGGUGAUCGGCCACAUUGGGACUGAGACACGGCCCAAACUCCUACGGGAGGCAGCAGUAGGGAAUCUUCGGCAAUGGACGAAAGUCUGACCGAGCAACGCCGCGUGAGUGAAGAAGGUUUUCGGAUCGUAAAACUCUGUUGGUAGAGAAGAACGUUGGUGAGAGUGGAAAGCUCAUCAAGUGACGGUAACUACCCAGAAAGGGACGGCUAACUACGUG
rnacentral:rRNA from 1 species